CGGACCCAGAAACUUCGGUAGAUGGAAAAUCAUGAAACAUAACUGCUAGUACUUUUUCUUAAUUUUGCAUAAUCUAAAUUCCGUGAUCUCUACAUCUGGAACUUCCUGGUUCAACCACUUCAAGUCGUAAUUCUCAGUGACACUUUAAGUGAUCAAUAAAAUAAAUAGGAUACAGCAUUAAACUAUGUGGAAUACCAGGCAAGACCUUAAAUCUAUCACUACCGAAAGGGAAAGUAUUGUGUAUAAUUCUGAUCAUAUUCUGAGUACUAUGGGGCUUAAUUCUGUGUACUAUGGGGCUUUUUAUUUACCCCGAUUAUAAAGAAGUAUUCAUAGGAAUGUUUGUAACAAAGACGUGUUGGUAGAUCAGAAAUCACAUUAACUUAGAGAUGAGUAUUGGAACGAUAAGAUUGUUUGAAUGAUAUAAUCAAUACAUUUAUGCAUGAUUCUUGAUUUUAUGAACUAUUUUAAUCAUUUUCAGUAAUACAAAAUCCAGGGAUGGUGUGAAGGCCAGACCCAAAUAAAUUAUAGCACAGCUCAUUUUUGAAAAGCCAGAUGGCACAACUUAUUUUUUAAAAAUUAAGUCAAGGUUGAGAUUCCACUAUUAGACAUGAAACCUUGUUGCCUAAAGAUAAUGGUGGCAGACAAGGACAGUUAGGAUGAUAAAAAAUAAGAGAUAACGGGUAAUUACCUGAUUGGUUCACCUUUGAAAAGUUUCACUAUAAGUAGAGGCUGGAAAACACCAAGUUUUCAGAUGUUUUGGGGACUUGGAACAUCUCACUUUGUUUGACUUGUACAAAUAAAGUUGAAACUUUGACACCUGGACCUUCCUUGUCUGAGCAAUUUUUUGAGCUUGAAGAUCAACAUUUUCCACAACAAAAGAAAGAUACUUUACACUUAAAAAAACCCCUGAAACAACGAAGUAAAAUGUAUUCCACCCGUACGUGCAUAUAAAACAUAAGAAACUCCUCCAUACAAAUUUGAAUAGCACAGCACCGUGGGAUCUGACCACAGCAGAUCUGUGUCUAAACAGAAAGUGUCAGAAUAAAAAAAAUGUGCUUUCCGUAAAAAAAAAAAGAUGGCAAAUGUUUGCACAAGUCUAGAGGAAUCUUAUGUUUUUAUUCGAAACCUCGUUCCCAACAAAACUCUCUUCAGCCUUUUGUGCGAAUUGGCCCUAAUCUCCAGAUCACAAGACAAAUAGUGUCAAAUGAUAAAAGCCAAUGAUAACAACUGGCAAUUAACAACACAUGGUGUGAAAGCUAAUCCUCUUUGUUUUCUAGGGUGUUAAGAGGUUAGAGAGAUUUGAGUCUUCGUGACCUUCACACUCUCACUGAAGACGGAGAACUUCUCUGCUGGCUGAAGACGAACCGACUGGAGUUUAGCAUUGUUCACACCUGGCAUCACAAAACCGCCGUUUGCAGAUGAUCCGACCAUUAAAGCCCUCAACCAGAAACAGAGGCUGGAAAACCCCCUUAAUACAUUAAAAUCAUAACCGACCGCAAACACAAAGCUGGAGAAUCUGGAAAUGAAACUGAAGAGUUAAGGACUUGCAGCGGCCACAGCACAGUGUAAGCGAUUUGUUGUGGAGCGUAGAACAGAGGAGCCAUACAGCACGUCGGCUGCGAGGAGUGUUGAACACGAGAACCAAACUCAUCCAUAAUGUACCACACAGGGACCUUCUCUUCUGCAGACUGCAACACACACAACUUCAAAAUUCUGCAACGUAAUGUUUCAAAAUGACCGUCUCCACGAUUUCCGGGUCAGGAGCCUCUCCGUGGAAAGGAAAGCCCAUCAGGCUGGCCAUCCGUAUGAGCAGUCCGGGAAUCUCCAGCAGCUGCUGUCUGGCACUUUCCACUCUGUACGUCCAGG